AAUAUUUCAGUUUCGGAACACUCAUUGAAUGUAAUACGUCGUUGUGAUGAUUUGUAUUUUGCCUCAAAAUUUUAGACGGAGUUUUCCUAAGCUUCUCUACAAGUUCGAUUCCAAUUUGCUCAACAAGCUAAUAUUAAGAUCUUUUGUGUGUAAAACAUAAGUUCGACUUUGCCCUGAAGAAGUAGAAAUAUAUCUACGAAACGUU